GAUGAACGCUGGCGGCGUGCCUAAUACAUGCAAGUCGAGCGAACAGACGAGGAGCUUGCUCCUCUGACGUUAGCGGCGGACGGGUGAGUAACACGUGGAUAACCUACCUAUAAGACUGGGAUAACUUCGGGAAACCGGAGCUAAUACCGGAUAAUAUAUUGAACCGCAUGGUUCAAUAGUGAAAGACGGUUUUGCUGUCACUUAUAGAUGGAUCCGCGCCGCAUUAGCUAGUUGGUAAGGUAACGGCUUACCAAGGCAACGAUGCGUAGCCGACCUGAGAGGGUGAUCGGCCACACUGGAACUGAGACACGGUCCAGACUCCGACGGAGGCAGCAGUAGGGAAUCUUCCGCAAUGGGCGAAAGCUUGACGGAGCAACGCCGCGUGAGUGAUGAAGGUCUUCGGAUCGUAAAACUCUGUUAUUAGGGAAGAACAAAUGUGUAAGUAACUAUGCACGUCUUGACGGUACCUAAUCAGAAAGCCACGGCUAACUACGUG
rnacentral:rRNA from 1 species